UACGGAGGGGGCUAGCGUUGUUCGGAAUUACUGGGCGUAAAGCGCACGUAGGCGGCUAGGUCCGUCCGAUGUGAAAGCCCCCGGCUCAACCGGGGAAUUGCAUCGGAUACAGCCUGGCUUGAGGACGGUUGGGGUGAGUGGAACUCCUGGUGGAGCGGUGAAAUGCGUAGAUAUCAGGAGGAACACCGGUGGCGAAAGCGGCUCACUGGACCGUUUCUGACGCUGAGGUGCGAAAGCUAGGGGAGCAAACGGGG
rnacentral:rRNA from 1 species